UUGUUUGUGUUGUUGGGUUCGAUCAGAAGGCAGGGGGCGACUUCAAGCUCCCCAAAACCCUAGUUCACAUCAAAAACCACCAAUUGAAGGAUCAAAUCGAGUCCAAAACGAAAAUCGAGCAUAUUCGUGAUCCCCAUUGAAAGGAGAUCAUAAGUUUGUCGCCUAACGAGCUAGGUGGAGGCUUGGAAAAGAAGCGGUCAAACGAAUCAAGCACGAGAAGAAAACGUAUUCGGAUGCGAGGUAAGUAGAGCUUACGCCCCUUUACAUUAUUUGCAAAGUUACUUAAUUUCAAGUAAUGAUAUGAAUGCUACUAAGUGGUUGGUAUAUGAUAUUCCGACGCGAUUCAAUGAGAGUUGGAAUGAGGGGAAAAUGGUAAAUUAGUCAUGUAAUGACGAAUAAUUAAAAACGGUUUUAAGUAAAACAAGUUCAAAGAAAACCGGGAUAGGUAAAAGGGGUGAAAUGGUAAUUAAAUACCAUCUCAACACGGACAAAUGGUCAAUUAGACUAAAUGGGUCAAAUGGUGUGGAUAACACCAUUUGGCAAUAACAUUUGACGAUCGCUUGUUGAGUUUUGUGAUUUCAGGAAAUAACAUGUGUUGCGUUGCUUUAAUUAGAAAAUUUAAAGCAGGAAGUAUGUAAACGGGUCAAUACUAUGAUCCGAGCCAGGUACGCAUACGUGAAUUUAUAGUUAAAAGUGCAAGAAGGUCUAACAUCUAGCCGAAAUCCUUCAUUUCAAAAUGAAGGACUAAAUGUGACCAAAGAGCCCUUAAUAGGUAAACAAUGUAAACAACCCUUAGAGGUUGCUUAGAAACUUAUAUUAUGAGUUUGAAACCCUUAGAUGUGUAUAAAAGUUCUAGGCAAAAACAAUUGCGGGUCGAACGCCUAGAAAUAGUUAAUUGCGGAAAAUGACCAACCAAUAGGUAAAAUUGGGAAAAAGGGGUUCAUAUGUUAAAUCCACCACAAAAUAGUUGUGGUGGAAUAUUUCUAGUUAAUUAGACAUGGAAAAUAUUGUAGUAUCAAAAGAAAAGCACAAGUUCUAGACCAAAAUGCGUAAAUACCCAUAACGGGUCAAAAUAGAAGUAUUAGCGAAACGAGUUAAGAAUGUGUAAUAACCCGUGAUUUGAACCUUGUACAAUAGGAAAUAAUCAUAAUAUUAUGUUUACGAAAGAAACAAGGGCCACAAUCAAGUUUGUUAGAUGAAUUCAUGAACGGGUCAAAAUUUGGUAAAAAUGGUAAUAAGCCGAAGACUUAAAAGUCUUAAAUUUUUGUUAAUCCGGAUGUCGGAUUUUAACUGCAUAUGAUGGAGAAUUAAAUUAUGGACGCGUAGGAAAAAGAAUCGUGUAAAACGGAUUAAAAACGAGAGAGUUAUGUCCGUUUCGGUAAGAACUAAUGAAAAAUAGACGUGCAGAGUUGACACGGGCGGGUGACUUUUUGACACGGCCGGGUGGCUGGGCUGUGAAAAAUAUAUGUUAACUGACACGGGCGGGUGACUUUUUGACACGGCCGGGUGAAGGGGCUGAAAACAAAACAAAAAUAAUUUCUUGUUUUGUUACGUUAAGCACGGAACUUGUUUAUACUCGAUUAUUAAAGUGUCAAAACUAAUUAUUUACAUGGUUUUGACCGUAGGUGAAGAUGGGAUAAGCGGUUGAAAGAUACGAAAGUUUUCGUGCAAAUAAACGGCAAAAUAGGAAAGCUGGAAUGCAGGGACCACCGUAACUUACGGUGCCACCGUAAGUUACGGUGGAGCUGAAGGCUUUACGGCAGCCCCCUACUGAUUUACGGUAGGGGCAUGUCACACCAGGGGCCACCGUAACUUACGGUGCCACCGUAAGUUACGGUGGAGGCCAGUUGGAAAUCCAUGUUUUGAGAUCAAAAGUUUAACGUUGGGAUUCUUUUUCCUUCCAUUAUUAUUACCGGAUUUGUUUAGACUUAUCACAUUUCCCGUAUGACUAAAGCAUUUCAUGUUGAUGAAAUGUAGGUUCUUUUUGGAUGCCGAAAGACGAUCAAGCUCAUCGAAGGACCGAACACGAUAAAGAUACAUGCUUCCGCACAUUUCCUCGUCGUAAAUUUUUAAACGACAAACUCGAUCACUUAUGUUGAAUAACUUAUGAUUUGUAAAAGUUUUAAUAAACUCGUAUUUUCAUAGUAUGUGUAAACUUAAUUACACAUCUAAUUGUUGGUAUUUAUAUAUAUAAAAAAAACGUUAAAUAGUAACCAGAGUGUUACAAUAUGUAAUCUUAAUUACUUGACUGUUUUUCCUAAAUGAGACGUUAAACCUUAGUUUAUAAGAACGGGUGUUACAAGUUGGUAUCAGAGCCUUGGUUUAAGAGAUUCAAGUAUGGCGGAAAGCUAUGCUCCAACUUAAACCUUACGCUCUUGAUAAAGAUUGGUGUUCGGUUCGAGGCUUGAUCGCAAAUCCGGUAAGUACAUGUAUAUCAAUGGUUUAAUAUGAUUAAAGUGUUGAGAACAACACAUAUGGUUAUCGUGUAAUACACGUUACACCAAUAAAAUCGAUAUAGAAUAGAUAUAGUCAAUGAAAUUACACGCGUUGAUGCGUAUAGUAGAAAAGCCUUGUAUUAUAAUACGGGCAUCCUUUAAUGUUGAAAUUAUUAACAUUUGUAUAUGUUUUAGUUGAAGGACACUCGCAUAUUAGGAUAGCGAGAGCUUAACAAAUUACGGAUAUGAUUGAAGAACGGUCCAAAGUAUGACAAGAGGAGCAUGCUCACCAAGGACUAAAUCGCGUAACGACCGCGAACAAAGUUAAAGGCAAGAAACGCCCGUCGGGGCAAGCAUUACCAGUUUGUCGCCUAACGAGCUAGGUGGAGGCUUGGAAAAGAAGCGGUCAAACGAAUCAAGCACGAGAAGAAAACGUAUUCGGAUGCGAGGUAAGUAGAGCUUACGCCCCUUUACAUUAUUUGCAAAGUUACUUAAUUUCAAGUAAUGAUAUGAAUGCUACUAAGUGGUUGGUAUAUGAUAUUCCGACGCGAUUCAAUGAGAGUUGGAAUGAGGGGAAAAUGGUAAAUUAGUCAUGUAAUGACGAAUAAUUAAAAACGGUUUUAAGUAAAACAAGUUCAAAGAAAACCGGGAUAGGUAAAAGGGGUGAAAUGGUAAUUAAAUACCAUCUCAACACGGACAAAUGGUCAAUUAGACUAAAUGGGUCAAAUGGUGUGGAUAACACCAUUUGGCAAUAACAUUUGACGAUCGCUUGUUGAGUUUUGUGAUUUCAGGAAAUAACAUGUGUUGCGUUGCUUUAAUUAGAAAAUUUAAAGCAAGAAGUAUGUAAACGGGUCAAUACUAUGAUCCGAGCCAGGUGAAGAUGGGAUAAGCGGUUGAAAGAUAUGAAAGUUUUCGUGCAAAUAAACGGCAAAAUAGGAAAGCUGGAAUGCAGGGACCACCGUAACUUACGGUGCCACCGUAAGUUACGGUGGAGCUGAAGGCUUUACGGCAGCCCCCUACUGAUUUACGGUUCUUUUUGGAUGCCGGAAGACGAUCAAGCUCAUCGAAGGACCGAACACGAUAAAGAUACAUGCUUCCGCACAUUUCCUCGUCGUAAAUUUUUAAACGACAAACUCGAUCACUUAUGUUGAAUAACUUAUGAUUUGUAAAAGUUUUAAUAAACUCGUAUUUUCAUAGUAUGUGUAAACUUAAUUACACAUCUAAUUGUUGGUAUUUAUAUAUAUAUAUAAAAAAAGUUAAAU
rnacentral:lncRNA from 1 species